rnacentral:rRNA from 1 species
UCGGGAAUUUUGGGCAAUGGGCGAAAGCCUGACCCAGCAACGCCGCGUGAGGGAUGAAGUAUUUCGGUAUGUAAACCUCGAAAGAAUGGGAAGAAUAAAUGACGGUACCAUUUAUAAGCUCCGGCUAACUACGUGCCAGCAGCCGCGGUAAUACGUAGGGAGCAAGCGUUGUUCGGAUUUACUGGGCGUAAAGGGCGCGUAGGCGGCGCGGUAAGUCACUUGUGAAAUCUCUGAGUUUAACUCAGAGCGGCCAAGUGAUACUGCUGUGCUAGAGUGCGGAAGAGGCAACCGGAAUUCUUGGUGUAGCGGUGAAAUGCGUAGAUAUCAAGAGGAACACCUGAGGCGAAGGCGGGUUGCUGGGCCGACACUGACGCUGAUGCGCGAAAGCC